AUACUCUGGUUUCUCUUCAAAUCGUAUAAAUCUUUCGCCUUUUACUAAAGAUUUCCGUGGAGAGGAACAAUUCUGAGUUUGUAACUAAUUUUUUGAUGCCUUGCUUUGGCAGGGCU
rnacentral:snRNA from 12 species